CUGGCCGUCACGUACCUGAUGUCCACUGCCGUGCUGCAGGAGUGACAGUAACACUUGGGUGGUUGACGAGGAAGUGAACCGGAAACAGAGAAAGAAACAGGAGGGGUGAGGUCCUUUCUCUUGCCUGGAUAGGACGUGAACAGGAUGGAACACCCAGUACGAUGGGCAAUAGAAGUGGUGACCCGGAAAGCCGUCCAUUCACGAGCUGGGGGCUGGGAAAUCUGUCACGAUGUCCGCAUCGAACAGGUUGUUCCCUGUGGGGAUUCCAGGGGUACCUGGAUGGCUCGGUCAGUUAAAUGUCC